rnacentral:rRNA from 1 species
UGGGGAAUAUUGCACAAUGGGCGCAAGCUUGAUGCAGCCAUGCCGCGUGUGUGAAGAAGGCCUUCGGGUUGUAAAGCACUUUCAGCGGGGAGGAAGGCGGUGAGGUUAAUAACCUCAUCGAUUGACGUUACCCGCAGAAGAAGCACCGGCUAACUCCGUGCCAGCAGCCGUGGUAAUACGGAGGGUGCAAGCGUUAAUCGGAAUUACUGGGCGUAAAGCGCACGCAGGCGGUCUGUCAAGUCGGAUGUGAAAUCCCCGGGCUCAACCUGGGAACUGCAUUCGAAACUGGCAGGCUAGAGUCUUGUAGAGGGGGGUAGAAUUCCAGGUGUAGCGGUGAAAUGCGUAGAGAUCUAGAGGAAUACCGGUGGCGAAGGCGGCCCCCUGGACAAAGACUGACGCUCAGGUGCGAAAGCGUGGGGAGCAAACAGGAUUAGAUACCCUGGUAGUCCACGCCGUAAACGAUGUCGAUUUGGAGGUUGUGCCCUUGAGGCGUGGCUUCCGGAGCUAACGCGUUAAAUCGACCGCCUGGGGAGUACGGCCGCAAGGUUA